GAGAGGAUCCUGAACCUGGAGUCGGCUCUGAGGCAGAGAGACAACUCCCUGCAGAAGAUCAACCUGCAGCUGCACAGCAAAGACAUGCAGUACCUGCAGCUGCACGCCGGCCCCGAUGCACACAUGCUGGACUGUCCCGCCCUGACCCUGCAGAGCUCCCGCAGCCUGGACGCCCUGUCCGACCUGAAGCUGCAGCGGCUGGAGGCCGAGCUGGAGGGGGCGCGGCACGAAGCCCAGGGGGCGUGUCAGCGGGAAGAGGAGCUGAAGGCCGAGGUCGAGAGGCUGAAGGAGGAGAUGAGACAGCUGCAGAACAGCCAGAGGGAGCGGGAAAUGACUUCUCCGUGCAAGCAGUGUGAUGUGGAGUGGAUAAAGAAGGUGGGAGAUGAGCAGUAAGUGACCACAUUCGAUCUCUGGGGGGUUGAAGGGAGGGAGCGAAGGAGAGAUGCUGGUAGAGAAGCAGCAUCCUCAGCAGAG
rnacentral:lncRNA from 1 species